rnacentral:rRNA from 1 species
CCUACGGGAGGCAGCAGUAGGGAAUUUUUCGCAAUGGGCGAAAGCCUGAUGGAGCAAUGCCGCGUGAAUGAUGAAGGUCUUAUAGAUUGUAAAAUUCUUUUAUUUGGGAAGAAAAACUAAAGUAGGAAAUGACUUUAGUCUGACUGUACCAUUUGAAUAAGUAUCGGCUAACUAUGUGCCAGCAGCCGCGGUAAUACAUAGGAUGCAAGCGUUAUCCGGAUUUACUGGGCGUAAAACGAGCGCAGGCGGGUUAACAAGUUUGGUAUGAAAGGCUUUUGCUUAACGAAAGUUUGUAUCAAAAAUUGUUGAUCUAGAGUGUAGUAGAGAGUGCUAGAAUUACACGUGGAGCGGUGAAAUGCGUAGAUAUGUGGAAGAAUACCGAUGGCGAAGGCGAGAACUUAGGAUAUCACUGACGCUUAGGCUCGAAAGUGUGGGGAGCAAAUAGGAUUAGAUACCCCAGUAGUC